AUUGAAGUACUUAAUAAAAAAUUAGUUUGUAUCAUAUACAAACUUUUAGCAAUAUUUACUGAUUUCACGAUUGUAAGGUACUCCUUAUAAUUUCUCUUUCAGUAGCCCUCCUUGCCACAUUGAUAGCCAGUACCUUUGGCGGAGACCUUCUUUGUCUUCUUCUUGGAUAUGCUAGCUUUAGGGUUUAUCUUUUUCUUAUAACUCUUCUUUGUCUUCUUCUUGCUGAUCUUAUCAACAUGAAGG
rnacentral:lncRNA from 1 species